GACGAACGCUGGCGGCGUGCUUAACACAUGCAAGUCGAACGGAAAGGCCCUGCUUUUGUGGGGUGCUCGAGUGGCGAACGGGUGAGUAACACGUGAGUAACCUGCCCUUGACUUUGGGAUAACUUCAGGAAACUGGGGCUAAUACCGGAUAGGAGCUCCUGCUGCAUGGUGGGGGUUGGAAAGUUUCGGCGGUUGGGGUUGGACUCGCGGCUUAUCAGCUUGUUGGUGGGGUAGUGGCUUACCAAGGCUUUGACGGGUAGCCGGCCUGGGAGGGUGACCGGCGACAAUGGGACUGAGAUACGGACCAGACUCCUACGGGAGGCAGCAGGGGGGAAUAUUGCGCAACGGGCGGAAGCCUGAUGCAGCAACGCCGCGUGCGGGAUGACGGCCUUCGGGUUGUAAACCGCUUUCGACGGAGACGAAGCGUGAGUGACGGUAAUGGGUAAAGAAGCACCGGCUAACUACGUG
rnacentral:rRNA from 1 species